GUGGAUGAUGAGUUACUGUUGUUCAGAUCAUGAACUCGAGGUGUUCAGUCGCAGAUAUGGAAAAGACAGGUGUGGCUUCCUGGUUUCCCUUGUGAUGAAAUAAUAGAGAGGACGGGGAGGGUGAAGGGAUGACAGGAACUGUCUAAAUGACUAAGAUGCAUUGCAUACAAAAAGACCUGAUGCAGCCCUAAUAGUGACUCUUUUAUGCAAGGCAGCUCAUCCCCCAGAGACGACUUUCUCCCACAAUGCCCUGACCCUGAGAUCUAUGUGUGGAAUUCUCUGCUCAUUUAUCAGUGUGGGCCUGCUCCUCUCCCUGCGCACUCUCAUUUUUUCACAGUCCCGAUCCUGGUACUGUUGCACCCCAAACUACAUCUGUGUAACUCUCAGACUUGCACACAACCGAGCAUACCUACAGCUGUGGGAAAAGUUAUGUGUUUUUCUCUCCAAAUUCAAAAUAUAAACACUUAAGAUAACAAAACAUAACUAAAUUAACAUAAAUAUUUUAGUUAAAAUAAGCUGUACUGUUUUACUUUUAAGUAUUAACGUUUUUUUUAUUGUUUUGUCACAAAUUUCAGAACCCUGAUGUCAAUUUUCAAAACUCUACAUACAAAACUCUAAACAGUCACUACUUUUAACGCAGACACUUCAGAGUUCAGUAAAGUAUAGGAUACAGGUUUUAUUAUGGUUUAUACAUAAGUGUUGAACAGUACAGACAGUGGAUACACUGAACUACUUUUACUCAUUCCAUCAUAAUGUAGGUUUAC
rnacentral:lncRNA from 1 species